UAAUAAAAUCCUCAAAAUUAUUAGGUCCCUAAAAUGAUUAAGUUAUAGUGAUAACUAAGUCAUAGCCUCCCAUUAAGUGAGUGAUAAUGAGUCCAUUAGUUUAAUAAUCAUUGGAGGCCCAAAGGCCUGCUGCUUAUUGACUAAUGGAAUUAUCAUUCAUAGUAUGAUAAUUUCAUUUGAGUCUUUCUGAUGGUGGUCAGGUUGGCCGGCCAAAGUUGGGCCUGAUC
rnacentral:lncRNA from 1 species